UUUCCACACACACACUCUAUCCUUUAAUUUCUACCGUUCUUUUCUUUUCUUCUGCCACGUUCCUCUCGUAAUCUGCCUCCACAGACACAACAUUCACUUAACUGCAGACACACACACACACACACACACACACACACACACACACACACACACACACACAGGGGGGGUCGGUAAAUACAGAGGGGAUAAGAAUAACACAGAGCAAAGGUCAAAGGUCACGGUCACUUUGUCCUCACAAAACAAUCCGUGGCCCUGAUUCACAAACUACUGCGGCUGCACACACAGUUAUAAGUAUAUUUAUUAAGUGUAAUAAGUGGAAGCUGGUUGGCUGAGACAAUACGGCGCUUCUUGUAUAUUAUAUAUACGCUGAGACAUAUACUUCAUUUCUUUAACAGCUCAUAAGUGUAAAUGUGCUUUUUUUCUCUCACAGUUCAGCGAGAACCGAUCAAUAAUUUAGAAAUGUUACGUCGGCCAGAACGGCAACGUGUGCAAUGUUGACUAUCAAGGGCACUUUUGUCCUCAGCACCUGCUAAUUUCUGACCCUGAAACAGAUACACACAUUAAUCUGCACCCCCCCCCCCCCCCCCCCCCCCACACACACACACACACACACACACACACACACAGGCCGAGAGCUGGAGUCACAACUCUCGGCUGAGGGGAACUCGUACCAUCUGCCAGCGGACGGCAGUCAUCUUAUCCCCACUGCUCGUCCAUCUGUGGACUGGAGAUGCCCCCCCAGGCACAGAGACGCUGCCCGUGGGCUACGAGGCCCACUUCACCUCAUGCAGGAGGACACGUGCGGGUUAAAGAUCUCAACAUCUUCCUGACUUAUUGAGCCUCAAAUGAUCAGGAGCUAUUAGGUCAUCAGUUCGCAGCUGCCAACCGGUUUGUCAACAAGAACAUUUUCACGACUGUAAACUUCAGAUCCAGGUUUGUUUUAUUCCGUUGACGAGGAUGAAAGAGCGCUUCGUCUCGUCAUACGACCCGAACGUAUCGACACAAGAGAGGCCGUAUUUCACCGUGUCUGCGCACACACACACACACACACACACACACACACACACACACACACACACACACACACACACAAACACUGCAUGUCUCUGCACACACACACUGCAGGUCUCUGUACACACACACACACACACACACACACACACACACACACACACACACACACACUGCAUGUCUCUGCACACACACACUGCAGGUCUCUGUACACACACACACACACACACGCACACUGCAGGUCUCUGUACACACACACACACACACACACGCACACACACACGCACACUGCAGGUCUCUGUACACACACACACACACAUGUCAAAGACAAAAUAACUUGCACAUAAAAUGAAAAUGGGGGGGGGGCAACACAUGGACGCCUCAGAAAAGAAUUACUCUGCUUUGAUUUUUUGGGGGAGGCUUUAUUGCGCAAUACGGAGAGAUUAAAGCAAACACGGCUCCGCGUUCACUUUGGGCCGAUCUUGGGGGGUUUCGCCGCCUCGAGAACAAACAGCGAGAAUCUCAGCGAAGCAAGAAGACGCCAAUUAAAUACUGCUAGUGAGAUAAAGACAGACGGAGAGACGGAGAGAGAGACAGACAGAGAGACGGAGAGAGAGACAGACAGAGAGACAGACAGACAGAGAGAGAGACGGAGAGAGAGACAGAGAGACAGACAGAGAGAGAGACAGAGAGAGAGACAGACAGAGAGACGGAGAGAGAGACAGACAGAGAGAC
ensembl:lncRNA